rfam:Bombyx mori DNA, contig: Bm_scaf80_contig32836, strain: p50T/Dazao, build 2, whole genome shotgun sequence.
UUAACUCAAACUUGUAUGGAGUUGGAACAGCGCCCCUAGCAGCAAACGUAGGCAAACGUUCAAACUCCAUACAAAUUUGUAAAA